rnacentral:rRNA from 1 species
UGAGGAAUAUUGGUCAAUGGACGCAAGUCUGAACCAGCCAUGCCGCGUGCAGGAAGACGGCUCUAUGAGUUGUAAACUGCUUUUGUACGAGGGUAAACGCUCUUACGUGUAAGAGCCUGAAAGUAUCGUACGAAUAAGGAUCGGCUAACUCCGUGCCAGCAGCCGCGGUAAUACGGAGGAUCCAAGCGUUAUCCGGAUUUAUUGGGUUUAAAGGGUGCGUAGGCGGUUUGAUAAGUUAGAGGUGAAAUACCGGUGCUUAACACCGGAACUGCCUCUAAUACUGUUGAACUAGAGAGUAGUUGCGGUAGGCGGAAUGUAUGGUGUAGCGGUGAAAUGCUUAGAGAUCAUACAGAACACCGAUUGCGAAGGCAGCUUACCAAACUAUAUCUGACGUUGAGGCACGAAAGCGUGGGGAGCAAACAGG